rnacentral:rRNA from 1 species
AGGACGAACGCUGGCGGCGUGCUUAACACAUGCAAGUCGAGCGGAAAGGCCCUUCGGGGUACUCGAGCGGCGAACGAGUGAGUAACACGUGAGUAACCUGCCCCUAGCUCUGGGAUAGCUCCGGGAAACCGGGAUUAAUACCAGAUACGACCACUUUAGACAUCUGUCGUGGUGGAAAGGAUUCCGGCUAGGGAUGGGCUCGCGGCCUAUCAGCUUGUUGGUGGGGUAACGGCCUACCAAGGCGACGACGGGUAGCCGGCCUGAGAGGGCGACCGGCCACACUGGGACUGAGACACGGCCCAGACUCCUACGGGAGGCAGCAGUGGGGAAUAUUGCGCAAUGGGCGAAAGCCUGACGCAGCGACGCCGCGUGGGGGAUGAAGGCCUUCGGGUUGUAAACCCCUUCAGCAGGGACGAAGCGAAAGUGACGGUACCUGCAGAAGAAGCGCCGGCUAACUACGCGCCAGCAGCCGC